rnacentral:rRNA from 1 species
GGGGAAUAUUGCACAAUGGGCGAAAGCCUGAUGCAGCAACGCCGCGUGAGUGAUGAAGGUCUUCGGAUUGUAAAGCUCUGUCUUUUGGGACGAUAAUGACGGUACCAAAGGAGGAAGCCACGGCUAACUACGUGCCAGCAGCCGCGGUAAUACGUAGGUGGCGAGCGUUGUCCGGAUUUACUGGGCGUAAAGGGUGCGUAGGCGGAUGUUUAAGUGAGAUGUGAAAUACCCGGGCUUAACUUGGGUGCUGCAUUUCAAACUGGAUAUCUAGAGUGCAGGAGAGGAGAAUGGAAUUCCUAGUGUAGCGGUGAAAUGCGUAGAGAUUAGGAAGAACACCAGUGGCGAAGGCGAUUCUCUGGACUGUAACUGACGCUGAGGCACGAAAGCGUGGGUAGCAAACAGGAUUAGAUACCCUGGUAGUCCACGCCGUAAACGAUGAGUACUAGGUGUAGGAGGUAUCGACCCCUUCU